UUGCUUUGGCAGCACAAGUACUCAAAUUAAAAUGAUAAUACAGAGAUUAGCAUGGCCCCUGCACAAGAAUGACACAUAAAUUUGUGGUGUUCUGAUGAAAAAA